UACGUAGGUGACAAGCGUUGUCCGGAUUUACUGGGCGUAAAGAGCGCGCAGGCGGUCGAUCAAGUCGAGUGUGAAAGCCCCCGGCUCAACUGGGGAGGGUCAUUCGAUACUGAUCGACUCGAAGGCAGGAGAGGGUAGUGGGAAUUCCCGGUGUAGUGGUGAAAUGCGUAGAUAUCGGGAGGAACACCAGUGGCGAAGGCGACUACCUGGCCUGUUCUUGACGCUGAGGCGCGAAAGCUAGGGGAGCAAACGGGGAUUAAGAUACCCCAGAGUCCC
rnacentral:rRNA from 1 species